AUUGCUACCAAGACAACUAGUUGAACCCGUGCAAUGGCGGACAAUAAUGAGCGAUAUUUGUGAAUCGAAUUGCGAACAAAUAUUUUACGAAGUUGGACCUGGGCGACAGCUCAGGGCAAUUGUAGCUAAAAUUGAUAGAAAGCUUGUAAGAAAAUGCAAGAACAUUGAAGUAUAACAGACAAUAAAAUCUUUCUGAAAACAUUUUACUUCCCAGAACCCAGGAAACAUUUGAAGAUACUUCCAGAUAUUUCCCAAUGCUAUAUUUCCCCAACAAUGUUUUCAAGGGUGGGCAAACAUUUGGGAGACAUUAAUUAGUUUAUCAGUCUUAAAAGACUAUUACUGUAUUAGCACAGCGGGGAAAAUCAAACAAGAUAUUUCAAGUCCAUAAAUGAGAUAUAUAGUGUAUAUAGAUCGGAUUACAAUAUUGCAUAAAUGCUAAUACAAUCAAAACAAGAGGUC